UGCCAGCAGCCGCGGUAAUACGGAGGGAGCUAGCGUUGUUCGGAAUUACUGGGCAUAAAGCGCACGUAGGCGGCCUGAUAAGUCAGUUGUGAAAGCCCUCGGCUCAACCGGGGAACUGCAAUUGAUACUGUCAGGCUCGAGGGUGGUUGGGGCGAGUGGAACUUCUGGUGGAGCGGUGAAAUGCGUAGAUAUCAGAAGGAACACCGGUGGCGAAAGCGGCUCACUGGACCACAUCUGACGCUGAGGUGCGAAAGCCAGGGGAGCAAACGGGAUUAGAUA
rnacentral:rRNA from 1 species